UAGAGUUUGAUCCUGGCUCAGGAUGAACGCUGGCGGCGUGCCUAAUACAUGCAAGUCGGACGAGGGUUAUUGUCGUAAGAUGAUAAUUCCGAGUGGCGAACGGGUGAGUAACACGUAGGUGACCUGCCCCGGAGAGGGGGAUAACGGCUCGAAAGGGCUGCUAAUACCCCAUUCUGCUCACAGAGGCUAGAGGCUCAGUGAGGAAAGGUGAAGACGCUCCGGGAGGGGCCUGCGGCCCAUCAGGUAGUUGGUGAGGUAACGGCCCACCAAGCCGAAGACGGGUAGGGGGCCUGAGAGGGUGGUCCCCCACACGGGCACUGAGAGACGGGCCCGACUCCUACGGGAGGCAGCAGUAAGGGAUAUUGCGCAAUGGGCGAAAGCCUGACGCAGCAACGCCGCGUGCCCGAGGAAGGCCUUCGGGUCGUAAAGGGCUUUUAGGGCUGAAGAGCAAGGACGGUAAGCCCGGAAGAAGUGUCGGCUAACUACGUGCCAGCAGCCCCGGUCAA
rnacentral:rRNA from 1 species